UGUGAUGUCCUUAGAGCUGAGAAUGUCAAACUUUGAGACCAUCAUGUCCAGGCCUCUACUGUGAGGAAGGGAUUACCUCAGUCCAACCGAGGGUAUAUUAUUCACAAAGGGUCCCCUGGUAGAUAAUGGACUGAGCCAGGACUAAGCCUAGUAAGGAAAAGAAGACCCAUAUCAAUAAUUUCUUUACAUUCUUUCAGUGGAGAGGAUAAUUUUGAAGCCAGGAACUCACCCAGCCCCCAUCUGCUAUGGUCCAGUGGAAACUCCAUGGAAACCAAAGAGAAAAGUUCUACCUGACCAAAGGGGUCAAAAGGAGACUUAAAAGAGAAUGAAACAUAAUUAAUAACCAUCAGCUAUAGAUUUCGUCGAGAGGAAUGUCAAGAUUUAUUGAUCAAAGAGGAAACACUGAUUCCUGCAAAGUGUCCUGUCUUCUCUGGGUCAAUGCUUUGUGAUAUACAAAGACACCAGGAGCAGUUACAAGCACGGGGAAUGGCUUAAUCAAAAGAGGCUGAGUAGCUCCUUUCCAUUCAGAAAGAAACUUCUGGAAGUCCUAGAAAGGGUGAGAUUCAGGAUUAAUAUCAAUAACAUCAAUUUCUAUAUAGUUCUCUGGGGUCUGCAAAGGGCUUCCUUUACAAUGACUGUAAAGAAAGUAGUACAAGAAUUAAGUGAUCUCCCUAGAGAGAGGAGAAAACUGAGGCUCAGAAUGGUUAUUCAGAACACAUCUAGUGACAGGAAAAACAAACAAAUGAACAGAGAAGGAAUAUUUCGCUGGUGCUUUCAGGAUUGAAAAGUAUUUUUCUCCAAUAGCACUGCCUUGUAAGGAGCAUAUGGGAUUAUGGGUGAUCAGAAAGGACUAGCACCUCUGGAGGGAGGGUUUCCUGGAGGCUUUUCAAGGUCAUUCAUUCAGCUUUGGUGUCCACCUGCCACCUACUCUCACACGUAUGGCUCCAAGAAGCUAUAGCAUGCAUAGCGGUCACACCCAAUUAAACUAUCUUGGCAGAUGGGAUAAACCAGGCUGAGGAUAAGUGAAGGGCCACAAACUGGUCAGUGAGUUAGGGAGUGUCUACCCCACACAUGCAAAGACUUCCCACCAAGUAGAAUGGGCUAAUGAGCACAAUUUUUUUCCUAAGGUCAGGAAGGUUGCCAAAGCAGGUGCUAGAGCUCUGUCAAACACUGAAGACAACGAGGUCAUCCUGAGCCAUCACCAGUCAUCCUGACUUUUGUCUUGCCACUGGACUUGAGUGACUAGAAGAAAAAGUGAGGCUGCUGACUGUGUGUAACUCUGCCUUGCUCAAAUCCAAUGUAUGUACAAGUCAGGACAUCACCCCGUGAUGUCAUUGAUCCUCUUACAAAAACAAAGGACAAACAACAAAUGUACUCUGGGAGUGCUUGACUGAAAGGUAGUCAGCUCCAUGAAAGGGAAAAAAAGGGGUUGUGAGUAUCCAUUACUUGUAAUUACUCCCUGUGAUAUAAAGGAGUAUUUUUACAUUCUCUUAAAGAUCCUGAUCAUUUCUGUAGUUAAUGGUGUGAUAUCAGAUCUGGGUGCAACACAUUAAAGGAAAGCCAUCAAUAAAUUGGAAAAUAUCUAAAUCAGGCAGUCAGGAUUGUGAAGGGACUCAAGUAUAUUAAGUGUGUCCAUUGUAUAGAGGAGAUAACUGAGGUUCAGAAUGGUUAUUCAGAACACAUCUAGUGGCAGCAACAACAAACACAAACAAAUGCUUCAGUUAGAAUCUGUUAAAGGAAGUGGAGAUGUUGAAUCUGGAGUAGAAAAGAAUGAAGAGGAGCAAGACGAUGGGCUUCAAGUAUUCAGAAGAUAAUGUGGAAGAGGUGUGUGAUGUGUUCUUUUUGGUUUCAAACUAUCACUUUUUCUGGAGCCACAAGAUAUGGACUGAAAUCCAACUUUGGACACUUCUUAACUGUGUAACCCUGAGACCCAGGCAGGUUGAAAAAGAAACACUGAAUAAGGGAGCUUAAACUUGAACCACAGAGAUAGAGAGUCACCUUUUAAGAACAGAAGGGGACCUCAUCUGACUUAAAUCUAUUCGUAGAAAUCUGUGAAUGUAUUUGGAGCAGCUAUUGGCUCAAUGGAUAGAGCACCAGCCCUAGAUGCCAGUGACAGGACAAAAGUCAGGAUGAUUUGUGAUAGCUUGGGUUGCAGUGAAAUAUGUUGGCUUCUUCAAUGUCUAACCAAGCUUCAAACGGUCCACAGACAUUGUUUCCACCUCCUUCAUGAUCUUUGGAACAGAUUGUUCUCAGCCACCCAUUCAACCAGGGGAAGUCUUCACAUGCUUGGGGUUGGCAUCCUCCUAAAUCAUUGAUGGAUUACAUGUUGGUUACCUUCAACCUGGUUUGGCCAAGAUGGUUUACUGCUGUAUGGCCGCUGUGCAUGUUACUACUUCUUGGAGUCACAGAUAAGAGUUGGGUGAAAGGUAGACACCAAAGGAGGAAAGUCGCCUUGAAAAGGGCUUAGCAAACCCCAAUACCAGAGAUACUAGCCUUCCUUGAAUACCCAGUACACCCUCAUAUGACAGCAGAGUAAAGUCAAGUCAAGAAAUGUUUGUUAAACAACAACUGAGGGCCUGUCUCUGUGCUUUGGAAUACAAGUAGGAUCAGAAAGUGAGUCCCUGGUCUCAAGGAGCUCAUAUUCUAAUGAAGGAAGACAUCAAAUACUAGGGAAUGAAAGUGGGGAAGGGGAAGACCAGUCAGUUAGGCAACCUGGGCCGAUGGACACAUUUUUGGCCUGGACACAUUUUUGGCCUGUGAUUUCUUCUUAAAAUAGUGAUUCUGAGGGAAUCCAUUUGAAGAUGAGACCUCAAAGGCAAAGGGUACUUUCAGUGUGAGACAUAGUCCAGUGGUGCAGUGAGCUUCCAGGGGAAAAAAGAUUCUAUGGACAGAGGCAAAAAUUUAGGAGCAAACUAAACUUCAGAGACAAUGAAUGACUUUCUUAGGUUCAUACAACUAGCAAGUACCAAAGGCUAAUUUACUUUUUUGUUUUAAUAAAUACUUGCCACCCAUCUGAGAAUCAA